rnacentral:lncRNA from 1 species
CCAAUGUCCCCUUCAAUUCCUCCAAGCUCCCACUGGAUUUUUGUUUUAUUUUCACAAAUUUUGUGAUUCCAAAGCUUCUCAUUCAACGUUACAAUUUUUUUUUUCCUCAGCCGUGCCCGGGAAUAAUGGGCACGUUCAUAAUGGCUCCUUUUUCCUGAUAAUGCUGUAUUUAAGGGGAAUAUUUAAGUGGAAAAAGAAAAACAAAUGGUUAAAUUAGAUGUGAGUCGUGGCUGAAAAAGGGGUUAAACAUUCCCCAGUGGUGAAUUCCUUCAAGGGGGGCUCUGAAAUCCCCAAAAGCAGCAGGAAGGGUGAGGAAAGGGGUGGCUCCCACCCUUUAUACCCAAAAAUGCUUCAAAAAGGAAAUUUGCAGGUGUCCCAUGGCCACCUGUGCAGCGUGUCCCUUGUGGGGCACCAGAGUCACCCCCAAAACCCCGGGGCCACCAACAUCCUGUGGACAAAGCCGGCCCGUUUUGGGGUGAAUUCCCUCUGCAGCAGGAAUUCCUCAGGCAGGGGGGGUAAAGUGGAACCCCCAAAAUCCCCAUGGGGGGAAAUGCAGGGGGAAGGUCAAAGGGGCUUCGACGAGGCUGAAUUGGGGGUGCAGUCCUGGGACCCCCACACCCGGCCCUUCCCGGCCUCCCCGUGGGCUCCACGCCCCUCCAGCCACCCCAGAACCCCAAAACCUCCCAGGAGAUCCCACAGGAACCCCAAAGAUCCCAGAAGACACAUUCCAAAGAUCCUACAGGAACAUCCUGGAAGAAAGAUCCUACAGGAACAUCCCAAAUAUCCCACAGAACAUCCAAAGAUCUCAAAGGAACAUCCCAAAUAUCCCACGGGAACAUCCCAAAGGUCCACGGGAACAUCCCAAAUCAGGAACCAUCCCAAAGAUCCCAAAACAGGAACAUCCCAAGAUCCCAUGGGAACAUCCAAAGAAAUAAAGAUCUACGGAAAUAUCCCCAAUAUCCCACAGAACAUUCCCCAACGAUCUCAAAGGAACAUCUCAAAUAUCCCACAGGAACAUCCCAAAGAUCUACAGGAAAUCCCAAACAAAGAUCCCACACGCGAACAUCCAAAGACCCCCACAGGACCAUCCCAAACAGGAACAUCCCGAAGAUCCCAGGGAACAUCCAGCAGAUCCACAGGGAACAUCCCAAACAGGAAACAUCCCAAAUAUCCCACAGGAAUAUCCCAAAGAUCCCACAGGAACAUCCCAAAGGUCCCACAGGAACAUCCAGCAGAUCCCACAGGAACAUCCCAAAGAUCUCAAAGGAACAUCCCAAAUAUCCCACAGGAAUAUCCCAAAGGUCCCACAGGAACAUCCCAAAAAUCCCACAGGAAUAUCCCAAAGGUCCCACGGGAACAUCCCAAAGAUCUCAAAGGAACAUCCCAAUAUCCACAGGAACAUCCCAAAGGUCCAUGGGAACAUCCCAAAGAUCUCAAAGGAACAUCUCAAAUAUCCCACAGGAACAUCCUGAAGAAAGAUCCUACAGGAACAUCCCAAAGAUCCCAUGGGAACAUCCAGCAGAUCCAACAGGACCAUCCCAAAACGGGAACAUCCCAAGAUCCCAACAGGAACGUCCCAAAGAUCCCACGGGAACAUCUCGAAGAUCCCACAGGACAUCCCAAGAUCCCCAGGGAACAUCCCAAAAACAGAACAUUCCAAAGAUCCCAGGGGAACAUCCCAAAGAGUCCCAGGGGAACAUCCAGCAGAUCCCACAGGACCAUCCCAGCUCAGGGAGCCGCUCGCUCUGCCCCAAUUAACGCGCUGCAGUUAAUUACUGGCACAGGAACUCCAGCUCUCGUGGCCGUGCCCGCGGCUCUGCAGGAGGGUCGGUGGGCGCAGGGCGGGCACGCAGGGGCACCCAGGGGUGCCCAGCAGGGCUGGGUGCUCGGGGAGUGUCACUCCGGGGGCUGCCCGGCGUUGAGGGCCAGCAGGACCAUGCUGUGGGCCAGCAGGAGACCUCCGAGGCUGCGGGGCACAGCGGGGUGAGCGACGGGCACCGGGGGCACUGGGGGCACUGGGGGCACUGGGAGAACUGGGAGAACUGGGAGAGGUGGGGCUGGGGUGGGAGUGGCACUGGGAGGCACUGGGGGGGCUGGGGUGGGCACUGGGUGGACUGGGCAAGCACUGGGGGAGACUGGAAGAGAUGGGGCUGGGAUGGGAGUGGCACUGGGAGAACUGGGAGCACUGGGAUGGGCACUGGGAGAACUGGGAGAGGUGGGGCUGGGGUGGGAGUGGCACUGGGGGCACUGGGAGAGGUGGGGCUGGGGUGGGAGUGGCAUUGGGAGAACUGGGAGCACUGGGAUGGGCACCGGGGGCACUGGGAGAACUGGGAGAGGUGGGCUGGGGUGGGAGUGGCACUGGGAGAACUGGGAGAACUGGGAGAGGUGGG